rnacentral:misc_RNA from 1 species
CCGAGUUUACAACUCCCAAACCCAUGUGAACAUACCUGUCUUGUUGCUUCGGCGGCGCCACGGCCCUCACAGGCUGGGGCCCGCCAGAGGACCCAAACAAAACUCUUUGCAUUUUGAAUACAGUAUUCUGAGUGAACAUGAUUAAAUAAAAUCA